rnacentral:rRNA from 1 species
AUUGAACGCUGGCGGCAGGCCUAACACAUGCAAGUCGAACGAGUGGCGGACUGGUGAGUAAUGUCUGGGAAACUGCCUGAUUGAGGGGGAUAACUACUGGAAACGGUAGCUAAUACCGCAUACCAUCAGAUGUGCCCAUGUGGGAUUAGCUUGUUGGUGGGGUAACGGCUCACCAAGGCGACUAUCCCUAGCUGGUCUGAGAGGAUGACGAGCAAAACUGGAACUGUGACAAGGCCCAGACUCCUACGGGAGGCGGCAGUGGGGAAUAUUGUACAAUGGGCGCAAGCCUGAUGCAGCCAUGCCGCGUGUAUGAAGAAGGCCUUAGGGUUGUAAAGUACUUUCAGCGGGGAGGCGUUACUCGCAGAAGAAGCACCGGCUAACUACGUGCCAGCAGCGGCGGUAAUAC